rnacentral:tRNA from 1 species
GCGCUUGUAGCUCAGCUGGAUAGAGCAGUGGACUUCGAAUCCAAAGGUCGCAGGUUCAAAUCCUGCCAGGCGCA